UUCCCAAGAUAUCGUUGCCCAAGUUCAGUGGAAGUUAUGGAGACUGGUUGUCGUUCAAGGAUUUAUACGUCACUAUGGUACACGGAAAUGAAGAUUUAAGUCCCGUGCAGAAGUUCUAUUACUUGAAGUCGUGUUUGGUCGGCGAAGCUGCCUCUUUGGUUACGACUUUGGAAUGUACGAACGAAAACUACGUGAAGGCAUGGUCUGCGAUUACAUCAAGAUAUGACAAUAAGCAGCGCUGCCAAGCAUUAGAUAUGCUAUGCCGUGAUGAAGCAGUGAGCACUACAAAGGUCGUGCCUCCGGCAAAGAGCACUAGUCAUGUGACUGUUGGCAGCGGCAGAAGUGCAAAUGGAGAAAAGGUGCGAACAGAGCUACCUUGAUUCUGUGUCCAGGGAUGAAGAAGGAAGGUAUCAUGUCGAUUUGCCAAUAAACAAAGAACUUCUACCAAAACUAGGCAAAUUCGAGUGAAACCUCAGUAUCAAGCACUUCAGCGCAUCCUGUGGAGAGAUGAUCCAUCGCAUGAUAUACAGUGUCUUCAGCUGGAUACUGUUACAUAUGGAACAGCAUCAGCCAGUUACCUUGCUACACGGACAUUGGUGAAAUUGGUUGAGGAUGAAGGUGAUAAUUUUCCAUCUGCUUCUAAGGCAUUACUUCAAAGUACCUUCGUUGAUGACAUUUUGCAUGGCGAGAAUGAUCUUUCUUCUGCAUUAAAUACCAUAAAUGAGUUGCAAGAGUUGUUAGCUAAAGGAAGGUUUGAAUUGCACAAAUGGUACUCUAAUAGCUCAAUGUUAAUGUCGCAAUUUCCUCCUGAAAAACUUGAAAAAUGUCAUUUUUCCUUUGACAAUAAAGAAGGUUCU